rnacentral:rRNA from 1 species
AUUGAACGCUGGCGGCAGGCCUAACACAUGCAAGUCGAGCGGAUGAAGGGAGCUUGCUCCUGGAUUCAGCGGCGGACGGGUGAGUAAUGCCUAGGAAUCUGCCUGGUAGUGGGGGAUAACGUCCGGAAACGGGCGCUAAUACCGCAUACGUCCUGAGGGAGAAAGUGGGGGAUCUUCGGACCUCACGCUAUCAGAUGAGCCUAGGUCGGAUUAGCUAGUUGGUGGGGUAAGGGCCUACCAAGGCGACGAUCCGUAACUGGUCUGAGAGGAUGAUCAGUCACACGGGAACUGAGACACGGUCCAGACUCCUACGGGAGGCAGCAGUGGGGAAUGUUGGACAAUGGGCGAAAGCCUGAUCCAGCGAUGCCGCGUGUGUGAAGAAGGUCUUCGGAUUGUAAAGCACUUUAAGUUGGGAGGAAGGGCAGUAAGUUAAUACCUUGCUGUUUUGACGUUACCAACAGAAUAAGCACCGGCUAACUUCGUG